rnacentral:lncRNA from 1 species
GUCAGCUUUCCACUGAGAUAACAUCUUUGUCCAUUUAGGGGGAGGGGUUCUGUUUUCUGCUUGAUUGAGGUCCACCUUUCAAUAAACUGGGGAGACAUGGUCCAUAUUUCUUUCUGGCCACAGGUCUAUCUGGAUGUCCGGUUGAUUUUUUUUCUCCCACACACCCAGGAAUCUCCCCAUUUGUCUGGCUAUCUGUUCAGCUGGGAGUCUGUUUUCCCUGGGAUUUUGCCUGUUCACCCAAAAGUCUGCCUGGUUGGUUGGCUUUCUAUUGAGAGAGAGCUUUUUGCCUAUCUGGCUGAGGAUCUGAGGGACUAGCCAAAAACUGCCUUGUGGCCUGUGAACAUUUACUUGUGAUAUCAGCUGGGUUGGGUGUCUGUCCUUUCUGGUCAGAAGUCCACCUUCACUUCAUGACCCCUCUUGUUCAGUCUGUUUGCCCUCUUGAUGCUUAACUGUCCCUCCAUGCCUUCCCAGCAUCCCAGUGUUCCUGGUCUGCUCUCUGUUCAGCUCAGGAAGGGUAUGGGAGAUGGUAAGAUCCCACAGACUUUCCCCAGUAGCCUUGGCCAACCCUACCACUCCUUUCUCCCAGAGGAGUACAGUUUCUUGCUAUCAGAUUUGCUGCUGCAGGUGGUCCUCCUGUUUCCUGAUACUAGCAGUCACCUACAGUGAGAGCUGUUAUCACUCUUGAGCUCAGAGUGCUUGCUGCAUAGGCCAUUCAACAAGCUUAAGACUGGAUGCUGGGCUGGGGAUGUGGCUCAAGCCGGUAGCGCGCUCGCCUGGCAUGCGCGUGGCCCGGGUUCGAUCCUCAGCACCACAUACAAAGAUGUUGUGUCCGC